rnacentral:sRNA from 1 species
UUAUAGCCCUGAUGGUAGUGGCAACCUUCUACUUGUUUUUUUUAACCAGUAAAAGAUAUAGCGAACAGCAGGAAUAAGC